UGGAAACGACUGCUAAGACUGGAUAGGAGACAAGAAGGCAUCUUCUUGUUUUUAAAAGACCUAGCAAUAGGUAUGCUUAGGUAGGAGCUUGCGUCACAUUAGUUAGUUGGUGGGGUAAAGGCCUACCAAGACUAUGAUGUGUAGCCGGGCUGAGAGGUUGAACGGCCACAUUGGGACUGAGACACGGCCCAAACUCCUACGGGAGGCAGCAGUAGGGAAUUUUCGGCAAUGGAGGAAACUCUGACCGAGCAACGCCGCGUGAACGAUGAAGUAUUUCGGUACGUAAAGUUCUUUUAUUAGGGAAGAAUAAAUGAUGGAAAAAUCAUUCUGACGGUACCUAAUGAAUAAGCCCCGGCUAACUAUGUGCCAGCAGCCGCGGUAAUACAUAGGGGGCAAGCGUUAUCCGGAAUUAUUGGGCGUAAAGGGUGCGUAGGCGGUUAAAUAAGUUUAUGGUCUAAGUGCAAUGCUCAACAUUGUGAUGCUAUAAAAACUGUUUAGCUAGAGUAAGAUAGAGGCAAGUGGAAUUCCAUGUGUAGUGGUAAAAUGCGUAAAUAUAUGGAGGAACACCAGUAGCGAAGGCGGCUUGCUGGGUCUUUACUGACGCUGAGGCACGAAAGCGUGGGGAGCAAACAGGAUUAGAUACCCUGGUAGUCCACGCCGUAAACGAUGAGUACUAAACGUUGGGUAAAACCAGUGUUGAAGUUAACACAUUAAGUACUCCGCCUGAGUAGUACGUACGCAAGUAUGAAACUUAAAGGAAUUGACGGGACUCCGCACAAGCGGUGGAUCAUGUUGUUUAAUUCGAAGGUACCCGAAAAACCUCACCAGGUCUUGACAUGCUUCUGCAAAGCUGUAGAAACACAGUGGAGGUUAUCAGUUGCACAGGUGGUGCAUGGUUGUCGUCAGCUCGUGUCGUGAGAUGUUGGGUUAAGUCCCGCAACGAGCGCAACCCUUAUUGUUAGUUACCAGCACGUAAUGGUGGGGACUUUAGCAAGACUGCCAGUGAUAAAUUGGAGGAAGGUGGGGACGACGUCAAAUCAUCAUGCCCCUUAUGACCUGGGCUACAAACGUGAUACAAUGGCUGUUACAAAGGGUAGCUGAAGCGCAAGUUUUUGGCGAAUCUCAAAAAAACAGUCUCAGUUCGGAUUGAAGUCUGCAACUCGACUUCAUGAAGUUGGAAUCGCUAGUAAUCGCGAAUCAGCAUGUCGCGGUGAAUACGUUCUCGGGGUUUGUACACACCGCCCGUCAAAC
rnacentral:rRNA from 1 species